UACGCUUCACCUACUAACGAGUUCAAAGAGAGUGUGUUUGUUGUGCACACUUUUCAAAAGAUGUAAAACAAGUUUUGUAUUUUUGAAAAUUUUUGCUUUAAGUACUGCCAUCAAAAAUAGAAGGAAUCAUGCAAAUAGAAUAAAUGAGAGUUCCAAAUAAAUGGGCAAAGGCUCAAAUUUUGAUGAAUUGAGUGGUGACCUGCCAAGGGCAUGGACCCACAAAUUUUUGAAAAUUUUUGGAAAAAUGGUAAAUGUAAUGGGAAGGGUACAUUGAACACAAAUAACCGCUAUUCUCCCUAACAACUUUGAAUGCCCCUGUU
rnacentral:lncRNA from 1 species